rnacentral:rRNA from 1 species
GAUUGAACGCUGGCGGCAUGCCUUACACAUGCAAGUCGAACGGCAGCACGGGAGCAAUCCUGGUGGCGAGUGGCGAACGGGUGAGUAAUACAUCGGAACGUGCCCAGUAGUGGGGGAUAGCCCGGCGAAAGCCGGAUUAAUACCGCAUACGACCUGAGGGUGAAAGCGGGGGAUCGCAAGACCUCGCGCUAUUGGAGCGGCCGAUGUCAGAUUAGCUUAGNGGUGGGGUAAAGGCCUACCAAGGCUACGAUCUGUAGUUGGUCUGAGAGGACGACCAGCCACACUGGGACUGAGACACGGCCCAGACUCCGUACGGGAGGCAGCAGUGGGGAAUUUUGGACAUGGGGGCAACCCUGAUCCAGCAAUGCCGCGUGC